rnacentral:lncRNA from 1 species
UGUUUGACUUUGUAGGAAGUGGUUAAACGUUUUGAUUCUUAGAAUCUAUUAUAUGUUUGACUGAUUAGGUUAGAUUGGUUUUUAUGUUUAUAGAAAUUGUUUAAUUCCCAAUCUUCUGAUAAUCAUAGUUUCAGCUUCCAAGAAUGUAAUUCAUCUUUUUGUAUGUCAUAUAUUUUUGGCACAGAAAAUGAAAAAGAAAACAUUUGACAUGUUAUGAAUGAUUUAUUUCCAGAUAAUAUAAUUAAGCAUGA